UACGUAGGUCCCGAGCGUUGUCCGGAUUUAUUGGGCGUAAAGCGAGCGCAGGUGGUUUAUUAAGUCUGGUGUAAAAGGCAGUGGCUCAACCAUUGUAUGCAUUGGAAACUGGUAGACUUGAGUGCAGGAGAGGAGAGUGGAAUCCCACGUGUAGCGGUGAAAUGCGUAGAUAUAUGGAGGAACACCGGUGGCGAAAGCGGCUCUCUGGCCUGUAACUGACACUGAGGCUCGAAAGCGUGGGGAGCAAACAGG
rnacentral:rRNA from 1 species